GGGGCGCUUGUGACGCCACGACGGGGAGGGCGUGGCCGGCGCUCAGUCGCCCAGUCGGGAGGGUGACCGAAGGAGGCGGCGGCGGGCGCUGGGCAGCCGUGGAGCGCGAGGGCGCAGCGGAGGAGCCCCCCGGGGGGGAGGGGGAGCCCCCCGGGAUGAGCCCCUGCGAGGACAGAGACCCCCUGGCAGGGGCAGCAGCAGCUGAGCUGGAUCCAGCCCAGCCCCAUCAGGAGCAGGAGGAGGAGGAGGAGCAGCCCAUCCUGGAAGAUGCCGAUCCAGGGCAGCUGUCGCCCGCGCCUGCCGAGGAGGAAGCCGCUCUCCCCAGGGGCCACUGCCAGGCCUGGCUCCUGGCCCCGCUGGAGGACGCCCGGUUCCUCAUCUGCUGCACCAACUGGUACUAGCGGCUGCCUGACCGGGCAGCACCCCGGACGGCCUUGGAAAGGCCCAGCGUCCAUCCUGAGGCUCCGAGACGCGUCUCUUGACAGGCUCCAGAUGGGCGGCUGUUAUUAAAACAUAGGCAACCGUGACUGGCUUUCCUGGGCACAGGCUGCUUUUGUGCUAUUUGCUUGUUUGUGUUUAACUUAAUCUUAACUUCCCAUAUCAAUUCCCAGCCGCCACCUGGCAGUGGAUGGUGUUGGUAGUGUAUUGGACCUGAUGGUUGUUGGGUUUUUUUUAGAUGUAGGGGCUGAUCAUCCAGGGCUUUCUAAAAUCACCAGGUGUAGAUUUUUUCUGCUGCUUUAAUUCUGACUAUAUUUACACUGUGCACUUAAGCAUGGCUACCUUAGCUGAAUAACAGAAAAUUCAACUUUAUGGAUUUACACAUUGUGCCAUGUGGGCAAUAAACUCUGGGCUGGGUGUGCACAAAACAAACAAAAAUGCAGCUGAAUGUGCCUUGUGAAUACAGCUAAGGUUAGGCUGAGAAAUGUAAAAAAUGAUAGAGCAAAUAUUUAAGGCACAUCUACUCCAAGAUUGGAGUUGGAGACCUAACCAAAGACUUUUUGUCCUGCAAAAGGACUGAUAAGAAAUAACAGGAUUCUCAUUUUUCUCCAAAUGAGAAGAAUACGCUCUAUAAAUAUACUCUAAGUCUAAACUUUAUUCCGGACACUUUGAAGAAUUUGAACCUGGCAUAAAAAGACUUUUCUCUCUGCAUAUUUAUAAGUCUGAGUGGACAAUGAUUAUAACUUUUAUUAUCGUUGUAAGAUUAAGCAAAAAUGACAUUAUAAAAUAUUAAAAAGAUGAUUAAUGAA